CGCGCCUCCCCCGCGCCCAGCUCCUCCCGCCUCACCUCUCUCUUCCUCAAAACCCUAACCUGCGCCCGCCUCCCAGCCCCGCCGCCGCCGUCGCCUCCUCUCCUCUUCCUCCCGCCCGCGCCUCCCUGCCCCGCUCCCGUCCAGGGCCAGCCCCACACCGCCGUCAUCUCGCCUCCGCGUCCUCUUCCUUCCUCUCCUCCCCAUGGGGCGACGGCGGCAAGGACGGCGCGCUGCGCCCGCCCCCUCCGCUCCACCAGAGCCCUCCCCGUCCCCGUCUGCGCCCUCGAGCUCAAGGACCCCCGGUCGCCCUCGGCCCCGGCGUCCUACCGGGUCCUGCUCGCCGCCCUCGCCUGCGCCGCCCUCGGCGUGCUCGUCUCCGCCCCCUCCACUUUGUUUCCUCCGUGCUUCGAUCUGGUACCUCCACUCCUCUCCAUCUCCCCCUCUCACCCACCCCCUCGCCAUGCGAGUGUGUGUGUGUUUGUGCAGCACUCGGUUUGGUCGGUCGCUGGUUCCUCCGAACAGUUGGUCCAUUGAGCCCUGGGAGACCUUAGGGGUUAGGGACGGUCCCAGCGAUGUGAGGGAUCGAGCAGCGGCAGUAGCGGAGCUCUUCAACUUUUCUGAUUAUACUAGAUACUAAUCUACAAUUCUAUAUAUGCCAUGCUAUUUGGCUACCCAUUUUCUUGAUCUACUUGAAUUAGUACUACAGAGAUGUCUGAUGUACGUGUGUGUGUGGUUUUGCUAUUAGGAGAAUCAAGGAGGUUCUGUUAGGAGAAUUUCCUUUUGUUUCCAUGGUUAAUUAAUCUUGGGAGUAUUCAAAAGCAGGCCAUCAUUGCUAUUAGGAGGGUCAAGGAGGUUCCGACAGUCUUUUUUGUUUAGUGUAUGAUGGUCACAUUUGUAUUGACAUCAAUAUUCAGAUUUAAUAUGUUUAUUGGGAGACCUUACUUCUAUAACUAGAUCAUGAAUAUCUUUUGAUCUUCUAAGAAACAGUUCUCCUGGAUAUUCCAAUUUAUACCUGCUCAUACAUCUGUUAUAUUACAAAUCAUGAAUAUCUUUCGAUCUUCUAAGAAAUAGUUGACCACGUCAGCCCACUCCACAUUGCAUUGAACUAUAUGCAGUUUACUUUUAUCAUAAACCAUGUGGCUUAAGUUAAGCUUGGCGGGUCACUGAUUACUUAGUAUGGCAGCUCUUGUCAAAAAAAUAGUAUGGCAGCUUAGUAUUUAGUGCUUACUGUAUUAGUCAGUCAAGUAUGCCGAAUACCCUAUUCUGAAAGCACACACAUGAUAUUUGAAGCUUUACAUACACUUGGAUGGUAACAUAACACCCAUGCUUUGAAUUUUAAAAUGCCAAAUUGGCAAUGGUCCUUAACUACCAUAUCUGCUCUGUAAUCUCUGACUUGGUCGAUGGAAAAGAUUUGUUUAUGGUUUCUGUAAUCUCUAUCGGCUAUUCCCAUAGCAAAAUACUUGAAAGGUUUAGUCUUAGGGAAUUCUUCAUAUUUAUUUCCUGUUCGAAAGAGAAUCCCUCUUCCCGCACCUCUAAGCGGAGCACCCCUUCGAGCCCAAGCCGUGGUCAGUAUCCUAAUUAACCUGCCGCUUCUUGGAUUAUUAAUUAGUGAGACAGGAUCAAUGGAGUUCGUAGUAUACUUUGAGUUUAUUUUACUGCCUGGAGAAAGAACAAGAGCCCUUUCUUGGAGGGGCGUUCACGUGGAUGACCGAACUAAGUCCUCUUCUUUUUUGUAUCUUGAAGUACAAAUAUGGUUUGAUUUGAUAUUAUAUCAUAGUAUAAAUUGUUAGAUUCUGAGUCUAUAAUCUAUAGACAGUUACAGUAGUUAUGGUCAAUUAAUCGCUCCCCUGAUUUUUGUACAUUAUUCUCACACGGAAAAUAUUGUUUGUUCCUCUCUUUUUUCAAGUUCACGCGUUGUACUGGAGAUUACUGUAAGACACGAGCAGAGAGGAUGAUGUGGUAGUCAAGUUCUUCGUGGAAACCUUGCCUUGGUUGAUCUUGCGGGCAGUGAGCAAGCCUCUGAAAUGAAUAAUUUUGGCCAAAAGCUCAAUUCGAUCUUGCUGUUCUGUGGCUCAAAGGUUGUUGACUACCGUUGGCACUACCCAGUUAAGUCUAUCAGGUUCCACUGAUCAUAUAUUUCUUUGGGGGCAUUUUAGGCUCCUUUCAAGGAAGAACGGUUAAAAUGGGAUUAGGACGAUCUUCGAAAGCGCUAACAGGGAAGCAUGUUUCUGGUGUACCUGGUACUACAGAGUAAAAUUAGGCAUGCACCAACUGUUAGCUUCUUUCAUUUUUCAAUUCUUCUGGCCAGUAAACUCUGGUAUAAUGAACUGGUCACACAAGUUCCCGAGUCAGCGUUUGUUAGAAGGUUUUGGUUCCUCAAGGUCGGGUUUGCACCCUCGCACACAUCUGCACCUCCGUGGACUGCAACUCCACCCAGGCCGUUGCUAUAGGUCACCACUAUCACAGGGCAGGACAAGGUCUUUGCAGUAGCUUGGAUGUGUCAUCGAUCUCCCGAGCGCAAUUCCAUGACUAGCUUUGUGGUGGUGGGUAAUUUAGUGCAACUUUGCCUGCUCAUAUCUGGAGUAUGAUAAGAAUUUGGUGAUUUUGUGCGGUACUUUAGCUUGCUGUAGACUUGUAGAUAUAUGUAGCGAAAGCAAGUAGGGCAUGUGAUUUUUGUAGCUUUUAUUAUGAUACAUCUUUUAAACAUGUGCUUUGUUGUACUUAUUAUUAGCAACUGUAGCAAGAACGGUUGCUGAUCUCUAUUGGACACACCCAGAUGGAGAUUUCGAUAUUUGCAUCAGAUAUCUGUAUUUAUUUUAAUUCUGCUUGCUCUGAUUAAAAUAGAAAAUACCAUCAUUAUCUUACACAUUGUUCUGUUAGGAUUGAAUACAACAAGACACGUGCCCAUUUCCGCUAUUGUACCCUUGAAUAAAAUGGUAAAUACUGCAGUUAUCAUAUACAAUCUCUCGGGAGUGAAUACAACAAGCGCAUUUUUGUUAAUAUCUCCUGCUUCCUGAUGUA